rnacentral:rRNA from 1 species
CAUGCAAGUCGAGCGAGAACCGUAGCAAUACGGGGACAGCGGCGAAAGGGACAGUAAUGUGUAGGUACCUACCCCGAGGUCCGGGAUAGCUGCGGGAAACUGCAGGUAAUACCGGAUAAUGUCUUCGGACCAAAGGUGUGAUUCCACCUUGGGAGGGGCCUGCAUCCUAUUAGCUAGUUGGGGAGGUAACGGCUCACCAAGGCGACGAUGGGUAGCGGGUGUGGGAGCACGACCCGCGUCAUUGGGACUGAGACACUGCCCAGACACCUACGGGUGGCUGCAGUCGAGGAUCUUCGGCAAUGGGCGAAAGCCUGACCGAGCGACGCCGCGUGCGGGAUGAAGGCCUUCGGGUUGUAAACCGCUGUCGUAGAGGAGGAAAUGCAGGGGGGUUCUCCCUCCUGUUUGACCUAGUCUAGGAGGAAGGACGGGCUAAGUUCGUGCCAGCAGCCGCGGUAAGACGAACCGUCCAAACGUUACUCGGAAUUACUGGGCUUAAAGGGUGCGUAGGCUGCGCGGAAAGUUGGGUGUGAAAGCCCUCAGCUCAACUGGGGAAUUGCAUUCAAAACUACCGUGCUCGAGGGAGACAGAGGUAAGCGGAACUCAAGGUGGAGCGGUGAAAUGCGUUGAUAUC